rnacentral:ncRNA from 2 species
CUAUCUUUGUCGCGCAUUGGUUUGCAACUCUCAUGCACGAGGGAAGCAAUUAAAAGGGAAUCAGGUGAAAGUCCUGAACAGUCCCGCUGCUGUAAGUUCAUUUUUUGGUUGCGAGCAAUCGACUUUAUAGCCACUGGAAAGCAAAUUCCGGGAAGGCGUUCGCAACAGGAACAAGUCAGAAGACCUACCAUGCAAACUCGUUUCAC